rnacentral:lncRNA from 1 species
CACAAAAAACAAGCAAAUUGUAGACAUUCAUAAUGGAUAGUAUUAUUUGGUUACUUAUCUUUAUUAAGGUUUAGUUGUUAGGUUUUUUGUGUAUUUGUGGGCACAAAUAAACCCUAUCCCUAAUUUUAUUUUCUACCAAAUAUAUGAUAUUACAUCAUUCACCUUCCCACAAUUAAGGAUUUGUUCAUUUAAUUAUUUGUGAAGUGGUUAGAUAGAAAUAAGGUAAGUGGAG